rnacentral:rRNA from 1 species
GAGCGUAGGCCGGAGAUUAAGCGUGUUGUGAAACGUAGAUGCUCAAUAUCUGCACUGCAGCGCGAACUGGUUUCCUUGAGUACGCACAAAGUGGGCGGAAUUCGUGGUGUAGCGGUGAAAUGCUUAGAUAUCACGAAGAACUCCGAUUGCGAAGGCAGCUCACUGGAGCGCAACUGACGCUGAAGCUCGAAAGUGCGGGUAUCGAACAGGAUUAGAUACCCUGGUAGUCCGCACGGUAAACGAUGGAUGCCCGCUGUUGGUCUGAAUAGGUCAGCGGCCAAGCGAAAGCAUUAAGCAUCCCACCUGGGGAGUACGCCGGCAACG